rnacentral:sRNA from 1 species
GGGCAGGCCAUACGGACGCCAAAAAGUGUCCCUGGCCGCCUACACCCACUAUACAUCCACAAACCCGUGUGCACUGUCUUGGAGAAAGGCUUCAGAGAAGUUUUUUGUGGCCUCUCUUGGGGUCUUUCUUCGCUACAAACUCGAAUGGUUAGUAUGAACGUGGAACUUGGUUGGACCGUCACUGGCCAACAAACUAUACACAACUUUCGACAACGGAUCUCUUGGUUCUCCCAUCGAUGAAGAACGCAGCGAAACGCGAUAGGUAAUGUGAAUUGCAGAAUUCCGUGAAUUAUCGAAUCUUUGAACGCACCUUGCGCUCUAUGGCAAUCCGUAGAGCAUGCCUGUUUGAGUGCCAUGAAAUCUCCCACCCCAAGCGGUUUUUAAAUGAAACGGCUUGGCGGAUGGGGUCUGGAUGGGUGCCUCUGCCUGCGCUACCUAGCACAGGCUCGCCCGAAAUGCAUGAGCGCCUUGAGACACUUUGCAUCCGCCUCUCUGUUUGGGAGGAGGCGGCCAAGCAGUGUUUUUCUCCUGGCAUGGCAUGAUACGUCAUUUGCUAUGUCGCCUAAAGGAGGA